CUGAGACACACCAUUCUUUGUGCUCUCUACUAGAGUCCUGCAUUUUGUACUCUGCAAUUAAAUGCUCCUGUCUUUAAUGUGAUAGUGAGGUGGCUGUGGUCCCUAGGCCCUGUGGCUAGUGCUGCUGUUUCCUCUGAAGAAGGCAGGCCGUUCAGCUGAGUUGAUGCAGCCAUCCCCAUGGAGCUCUGCUGGUUCAGUGCAAAAACGAUGAGGAAUACUGAAUGAACAAUUCCCAGUGGGGCAGGGGAACAGCAGCACCCAGAAGAAAGCUCAGGUGGGAGCUGCAGUCCUUCCAUGCAAAUGCCUCCUUCCUUUGGAUAUCUGAGAUGUGGCAGAGAAUGAAGGAGAGGAGAUGCUGAAUCCAUGAUGCCACCAAAGACAACAGCUGGCCAGCCACUGUUUAAAGAAACAGUGUCUUGCAUCAUGAAA